rnacentral:lncRNA from 1 species
AAGAAACAUGCUUGGAUAGGCGUCCUUGUCGACCUCGCAGUCUCCAACCCAUCCUUAGGUAUUGCAGCUCCUUCCAAUCCAGUUUACUCCUUUUUGACAAUUUUCUUACUUGAGCCUUGGAGAUAUGCACUGAAUCGACUAACGUUUGCUCUGAGAAUUUCCUUUUGUAGAGAGGAUGUCUUGCGGAAUGUAGUUUUUAGUGAGAAUAGUAGUCAUAGUGGUUUAGGAUAGUUUUUCAUGUGUUGGCUAAUUGGUUAUUGGUUGUAAUUGUCAGUUUCUCUUCACAUAUGAACCAUGCAUACUUGCUGGUGGGUGAUCCAAAAAUGAUCUCAACCAAUAAAACUUUUAGCGAGUAUGUAAGAAUUGGAAUCCUGGAUAUGGAUAGCAGACUACUUUUCAUGGUACCCAGUUUCUUUAGUCCUGUACAUUUAGCAAAAACAAUAAAUUCCUUUCGAUGUUUUGGAUUUUACCAUGUGAGUGCCUCUGGAGAGAUUGUUUAAUUGCUUUCUUAUGCUUCCACCUAUUUUCUUCCAGAACGAUGAUGUGCUUUCUGCUAAAAUUUUACACUAUGGUGUUGAUAAGCAUGAAUUAUUUGCUGUCCUCACAUACAGUUAUAAGCCUUAUCAACUUGAUCAUAGUGUUCUCUUUUUAUUUGUUAGCGGCAUGAUUGAAGGGCGAGACUACCAGCUGGUGAAGGAGAGGAUAUGUAUUCGGCGUGUCCUGAAGAGGUAGUCCACGAACCGGCAAUGGAGGAAAUAAGGUAGAGAUGGCAAUAGCAGCAAGUACGUCAAGCGCUAGGGAUGUGGAUAUGGUGUGGCAUAAAGAGGUAGUCCACAAACCUCUGCUAGG